rnacentral:rRNA from 1 species
CGGGAGGCAGCAGUAGGGAAUCUUCCGCAAUGGACGAAAGUCUGACGGAGCAACGCCGCGUGAGUGAUGAAGGCUUUCGGGUCGUAAAACUCUGUUGUUAGGGAAGAACAAGUGCUAGUUGAAUAAGCUGGCACCUUGACGGUACCUAACCAGAAAGCCACGGCUAACUACGUGCCAGCAGCCGCGGUAAUACGUAGGUGGCAAGCGUUAUCCGGAAUUAUUGGGCGUAAAGCGCGCGCAGGUGGUUUCUUAAGUCUGAUGUGAAAGCCCACGGCUCAACCGUGGAGGGUCAUUGGAAACUGGGAGACUUGAGUGCAGAAGAGGAAAGUGGAAUUCCAUGUGUAGCGGUGAAAUGCGUAGAGAUAUGGAGGAACACCAGUGGCGAAGGCGACUUUCUGGUCUGUAACUGACACUGAGGCGCGAAAGCGUGGGGAGCAAACAGGAUUAGAUACCCUGGUAGUCCACGCCGUAAACGAUGAGUGCUAAGUGUUAGAGGGUUUCCGCCCUUUAGUGCUGAAGUUAACGCAUUAAGCACUCCGCCUGGGGAGUACGGCCGCAAGGCUGAAACUCAAAUGAAUUG